CCCCUGCCUGCUCCGGCCAGCCCCGAGGCUGCGGCAGGCGGGGCGUCCAGGGGAAAGGGGGUUGGAGAUCGUUCCCACCGCGUGAAGCCACUGCCAAGCUACCACUGCAUCGGACAGAAAACGGCAUGAAGUGCCUUAAGGAGGUCCCUGUCUCUUGCCGUCGCCUAGAUGUGAAAUUGGAAUGUUGGAUGUUUGGCAGUAGUGCUGAAGGUCUUCUCCCACCACCUUUCGCAGACAGAGAUGUGGUACUGCUCCUGUGAUGCUGCUCCCAGAUGCAGAUACAAAGGCAUCUUGGCUGCUCCUCUGUGAGUCACCUGAAGGUACUAGGAGGUACAGUGGAGGCCCGGUGAACAUCCCCCUUCCACACAACCCAGUUUGGAUCUGGAAACAGAAUUGACACAUCCUCAAAGCACUCUGGUUACACCAGAAAUAACAGCCCCUCUACAGUUCUGGAUCCAUUUUUCUGGUUCUCAGCUUUCAGUUCAGGUCUCUCUGCUCUUGGUGUUCAUGGAUAGAAAUGAGAAGGGCCCGUGUUGCAGUGUAGUCCUGCUCUUCUCAGAGUAGUGCAUGCCCUAAGGUCUGCCAAAGAAAACCACUCACUGGUGCUUCAGAGCACAGCACAGAACUCUAAAGUGUAGUCCAUGUUCCAAAAAUAUAAAGAAAACCAACUUAAGUUGUACUCUUAGUGAACAUGUAUUUUCAUCUAAAGCCAGAAAAAUUUCUGUGUUUUCUUUAACAAUGCUAAGGUAUACAGAAAUUAAAGUGUCCGAUAUAUGUAAUUUGUUGUAUACAUGUAAUAUAUUGCCAGAGAUAUUUGACUGUUUUAUUUCUAGAAAAAGUGCCAACAUGAUUUGAAAAUGGUAAUUCUUCCACAGUUUGGUUAGAAACAGGAUAAUAGAGGCUUAAACUGGGAAGAGAGGAUGAAUGUUAAUUGUUUUCAAAUAACAUCGUUUAAGCAACACAGUUAGUUUCAAAUAACACAGAGGUAAUCAUUGAAGUGUAAACUAAAUUUUUUUUUCAAUUACGAGUUAUUAGAACUCUAGCUUAAAAAAAUAUCAGAAGAAUUAUGCCAAUUUAUAAUAAGGCAGUUGUACUGAGACUGGCUAAGAUGGAGUUAAUUUUCUUCAUAGAUGCUUAUAUGGCACUCUGUUUUAGAUUUGUUACAAAAACAGAACUCACAAUGCAUUAAUUUUCCAGCAAUGUUUUCACAGCAUCAGGGCUUUCUCUGGUUUUCAGUGUGCCCCACUCCAGAGAGUAGACUAGGGGAUGCACAACAGGAUAGAAGGAGAGAUAACCUCAACAAUCUAAAGAGAUAUUCUUUGUUGUAUAACAUCCUGCUCAGCAGUAAAAGGGAAAAGAGGGUUUUUUAGGGAGGUUAGCAAUCUUUUGAUUGGGAAAUGGCUGAGUAUUAUUCAACCUGUGGGAGGUGGUGAGCGAUUGCCUUUGCAACAGUUGGGUUUUUUUGAGGUUUUUUUUGAGGUUUUUUUUCCACAGUUAUUAACCUUAUUUUUAAUUUUUUAAAAUUAUUUUAUAUUACCCGAUUUCUGUUGCUUUUAUUCUUUAUUUUCCUUAUUCCUCAUCCAACUGAGAGCUGGGGAAAUGGCCAAUCAGCUGUGUGAUGCUUAGCAAACCACCAGGGUUAACCCAGAACAGGAAGUACAGAAAGCCUGUGGCAGACCUUCCUUGUUAUUAACUCGUUUUGUGUAUCUGUACUAAAUGAUUAUAAAAUGUUCAUGUUCUGCUUUAUUUAUCCAUUGCAAGACAAUGGAGAUCUGUGCUAUUUGUUUCAAUAAAUCUGCUUCUGAUUCAAGCUGUUCUA